CUCUGCCAUCUUGGUUCCAGGACCCAGACAGUUUCUAUAUCACAGCAAGGCACCAGACUCGCUGCUCUCUGGCUUCCUGGAUUCUUGCUAAAGGCAGGCCAGGAUGAUCAGAUAUCAAGGGUGGCAUAGUGGGGGAUAAAGAAUGUGAAAUAUUUUUUCUUAAGACAACUGUUUGACCAAAUAAUCUAAAAAUUUGAUAAAGCCCUAGAUAAUACUUGGUCUGAUUGAACCAUAUUUACCAUUUUAAAAACACCUUGUUCAUUAGGUCAACAUUAAGGUAUAAUUCUCUUUGCAUUAUGAUCUAAAAAAUGAGUAAAACACAUAUUAUCAGGAAAAAUAAGACAAUUACUGUGACAGCAUUGUAAAAAUGCUACAUAUAUUGUCAUUGAGGCUUCUGGGCAUAAGACUGGAGUUAUAUGAGAUCAAAGAAACUUCUUGAAAAUACUUUAACAUUGGUCAUCCACCCAUUGUUCUGUCUUUAUCAGGAAUCUACAACCUGUACUACAUAAAAUGAUUUUGCCCCUUGGUGGAUUAUUAAAUGGCCAUUGUCCAUCAACAGACUUCUCAACAGUGCCAACUCUAACUUCUGGUGAACAUGGUUGGAAGAAUGGGCUACACUACCAGCCUUCUGUAGUGACCACCAUAAUGUACUCCAAUGGCAAAAGAUGUUCUACAACAGACAUGAAUUAUUGGAACAACGAAUAAAAAGAAAAAGAAAUACACCACCAAAGAAUUUCUACUGAUCCAAUCCAGGAUACCAAACUGCAUCUAGGACUCCAACCUUUGAGGAAAAUUAGGACCAGUGUUAGAGCUAUAAAGACCUCAGAUCUAAAGGAUAGAGACUUAGGUUUGGAAUCAGGAAGAAUAAAUAGAAAUAGCACAGAUAUAAGCCUUGGAAAAACCUUAACUUCAAAGAUGUAGCCAUCAUUAUGUUUUACUUCAGGCAAUUUAUAUAUCUGAUGGAAAUCUCAGGUCAUCUGGUAUUCCCCUUUAUUGUCAGAAUUUAGCAAGGGCUCUUUUAAGUCAAAACAUUGAAAACCCUAUUGACUGUGAUACACUCCUGGACUUAAGCAAAGGGCAGUAUCUCAGAGAUUUAGCAGUAUCAUCUAGAUGAAAAUGUGUAUAUAAUAUUCUGAGAUAUAGUUAUCUUCAUACGUAGUUACUAUCUUAUGUAUGUCAUCUCCUUCCAGUUUAUCUCUUAUCCCUUGACCUGUAGCUACAGUAAGCAUCACAAUGUUUCUUUAGUUUGUUCAUUCACCCAAAACAGGUAUUGAGAACUACUUUGUGCUAAGCCCUGAGCUGAGCUCUGUGGACCCAUUAGUCUUUUGGAUGAACCCAGACAGGAUAGCCAGGCUUUAUUGUACAGUGGAUAAGUGCUAAUAGAGGUAUUCCCAGAGUGCUGGGGAAAGAAGCAUAGAAGACAUGCACGGAGAAGAGGAAACUCAUGCAAAAGACAUGGAAGCAUGAGGUAGCAUGGCCUUUUGAGUGUUCAUGCCUUGCCUGGGAAACAUGGCAGGGACUGGAACUGGAUGUGUGGGUGGGGGCUUGGGAUGACAAAGACCUUGGAUGCCAACUGAGGGGUCUGAAUUAAUCAUGCAGAGGAUGGGGAACCAACGAUCAAAUUUUGCUUUGGAAAGAUCAGUGUAGAGAAUGGAUUGCUGGAGGAAAGAAUUUGAAGCAGGGAAAGCAGAGGGAACUUAUGGGGUAGUGUGGUUUAUGCAAGAAACUACAAAGCCCUCCUUUCUCUUCUUUGCUUGACCAACAUCUAAAUCAUCCAUAUAGGAAUAGGUUGAAAUGCUACUUCCUCUGAGAAGCCUUUUUUCCCAACUCCUCAGGACAUACAUAGUCACUCAUUCCUAUAGCUCUUUGCUCAUAAUUUAAUUAUAGUAUUUAUCACUGAGUGUUGUAUGGAUUGCUUGUCGUGUCUAUCUCCCCACUACAGUGAGUUUUAUAGGUCAGGGCCCCUGUCUUAUUCAUCUUGGCAUCUUUAGCAUUUAGGACAGUGCCUUGCACAGGGUGUCUGCUCAAAUAUUUGAUGAGUGAGAGACAGAAUGAACAUUUGCCAAUCGCGGAUAGAAUGCAUGAGAAAGUUGAUCUUUCCCCCCAAACUGAAUAUUCACUAUUACCCAAAUUAAUUUUUGCAAAAUUCCAUGCACGAUCAUUUAAUUAGUCCAACUGAGGAAACAAGGAAAUGAGACUCAAAGAAGAAACUGUAAGUCUUUAAGCAAUUCAUAUAGAUUAGAAUUGCUUGGUCAUGAUUAGAUAAUCAAAAUUUGUGAGUUAGCAAGUAAAAACGAGAAAUGUUUAUGGAUGCAAACUCCUUGUGGAAUAUAUUAUAAAAAUGAAGUUGUGUGAUUUACCUCAACUGUAUUAUGUGGACAGAAAUAUCUUUAGUUCUGAGGGUUAUCAGUGGGGGUAAGCAAAAUCUCUGUUGCUGCUGGGUGCUCAUUUUCUGGGAAAAGAACUCGAUUUAGCCUAUUUGGGUCUCUGUUGCCUAACUUAUAAAUAGUCACUUGAACCUGGGGUCACAAAAGCAAAUGCCUAGAGGGGCCAGGUAAGUAGCAGAAAUGAACAAAGGCAGCUGGUGCAAUAAACUAGGGUGUUGGAAACACUUGUGAACUAGAAUCAUGCCUGACCCAUCGCAAAGUGACAGCCCUUACGCCGAUUCAACAGAUAGCUGACAUGCAGGAACUUAGGGUCAGUUUGCUGUAAUUUUUUUUUUUUGAGAAGCCAAAUAUCUCAAUUUUUUAAUAGAAACUGUAGUUUUACACUGACAAUAAAUUGUAAAAUGAUUGAUACUGUAUGGGUGAAUUCUCUUCCAGCAACCACAGCAUAGAUUGUUUUGGACCAACCUUUCCACUGAGAGCAGCUAGAGAAGCUGGACUAAAUAUUAAAACAAAAAAAAAAAGUAUAAAAUCAGUGCAAAGCCAGCAAGACUGUAAAGAAUUGUGAAGUCAAGAUGUGGGAGAGGAUUGGAGGUCCAUAGAGGUGAACCUGGUAUUUGGGUCCACUUUUCUCUCAAAUGUGAUUGCUGAUUCUGAAAGCUCUGGCUGAGACGGUGAGGACUGAGAGCUUUGGACACAGACACAUGGAGGUAGGGCCCCCAGAAUUGGAUGUAGUGUUAGCCAAGGAGUAGAGAUCUUGAUAAAUGUCUCAGGCAGUCAGUUUGGACCCAGAAGGGCUAUACCCAGGAAUAACAGUGAACUAGAAAUAGACCAAUUCUCACUGAAACCCAACUUCAGAUGGCCUCCAUUUGCUGAUUAGAUUAAGGAGGUUAGGGGUUAUUAGUGCCGCUAACCUAGCUGUCUGCCUAUAGCAUACGCACCUUCUCUCUGGAGGCAUAUAGCGUCAUACAAAGUCUCUUGACGAUUAUCAUAUACAGCGUCUGAUGAUCAAUAAUAACCAGGUAAACAAGGAGACAGGAUGUGACCAAAAUCCAAAAGAAAAAUGGACAAGACAAACAGAACCACAUGGGAUCCAGAUAAUGGAGUUUUCAGACACAGACCACCAUUCCUAUUUUGAGAAAUUAAAAGACAAGAUGAAAAGUGUCUGCAGAGAACUAGAAACAAUAACAAUGAACCAAAAGAAAUGUACAGAAUUAAAACACUAUCUGAGCCAUAAAAAACAACCAGAAUAUUAGAUUUUGAGCACUGCUCUAAACAUUGCGAGUGCAGAUGUAGCAUGAAUGGUACCAGUGCAAUAAAUUGAAGAUUGUCCUGAUUUAUAUAGUAUAGCAUAAAGCAUUUGGCAGAAGUAAUGAAAUCUUUCUUUGUAGACCACAAAGCAUAGCAAAGAUUAUAGAUAUCAAAAAAAAUUGAGAGAACUGAUGAAGUUCCAUUAGCUUCAACAAUGACUUGGACCUCCAGUAGCUCUGAUACAUGGGAAUUAACCUAUCAAAACCUCCAACCCCAAAUCAUACCUGAAAAGUUUUGACAGGAAAAUGCGGAGAGAUAGUAUGGUAGGUUCCAUAGUCUAUAGAAUCAAGUAGAUCUAGGUUUGAUACAUGGGUCUGCUUCUUACUGGGUGAAUGACCUUGGACCAGUUACUAAACUCUCCGAACAUCUCAUGUCUAAACUAUGGAUAAGAAUUGAUCUGAAAAAAAAAAAAGAAUUGAUCUGUUGAAAUUGUUAAGAAAAUUAGAAAAUGCAUGUGAAAUUCCCAAGCACAGUAGAACCAUAGAGUUAUUGGCCCAGAGAUAUCUCCACCCAAUCUUCUUUCCUCUCUAAACCACCUAGAGCCCUUUCCACCCUGUUGCCUCCCAUCACAUGUAUUUCUUCAUUCUCUCCUCUUCUCAUUCCUCUUAUUUUAUUUUGGGAGAGAAAUAGA